AGCUUUGCGCAGUGGCAGUAUCGUAGCCAAUGAGGUUUAUCCGAGGCGCGAUUAUUGCUAAAAACCAUUAACCUAGGGGCAAGUGGGUGGCAUGGUGGUUGGGGCACUGGACUCCCACAUGACUGACCACAGUUCAAGUCCCAGACCUUGUGGCUUACUUUUUCACUUUCCCAAUCUCUCUCUCUCUCUCUCUCUCUCUCUGCUUCUCUUAAGGGGA
rnacentral:snRNA from 11 species